rnacentral:rRNA from 1 species
UACGGGGGGGGCAAGCGUUGUUCGGAAUUACUGGGCGUAAAGGGCGCGUAGGCGGCCUGCUAAGUCGGAUGUGAAAUCCCUCGGCUCAACCGAGGAACUGCAUCCGAUACUGGCGGGCUUGAAUCCGGGAGAGGGAUGUGGAAUUCCAGGUGUAGCGGUGAAAUGCGUAGAUAUCAAGAGGAGCACCUGCGGCGAAGGCGGGUUGCUGGGCCGACACUGACGCUGAGGCGCGAAAGCUAGGGGAGCGAACGGG